ensembl:lncRNA
GAUACGUCUGAUGUCAGGCGAGGUUUUUUGUGGUGCUGAUUUUCAUAUCAUGUACGUGCCGCUGACCUGCUUUCACGCCUGUAAACUUGUGAGCAUUACUUCAAAGCAGCUCUCACAUUUUCACCCACUUUAAGAGCGGUAAGCGGAUUGUUUACAUCAUUUUAAAACCAUUACUUUUCCAGCCGCAGUUAUUUUAUGUUAUAUAAUGCAUUGUUUGUUAUAGAUUUCCAUUUGUGGAAAUCAUUGUUUGCUUGAAUAAUAUCUAAUAGACUUAAGACUUCAUAUAUGCGUGACCACACAGGAACCCGUCUAGAUAUCUCUGCCUGACUUCAAGAGCUUUAAGCGAGCGAGGAAGAUUCACGCGUCCUCAUUUAAAAACACCAGGUGUUGUUUUCACUGAAGAUGGAUCAAUCAUUUAAAUUAGUCUUUUUCUUCUUGUUUAGACAGUUUUGCUCUGAGGGGGGUUUAUUAUUCAAGACCCACUCUGUGCCCAACUUAGGCAUGGAUCGACUGUGCAGUAUUAUCCUUGUUCUUUUACACACAGCAGGAGCUUUCAGUAUUGCCCUUGAAGAGAAAGAAACGAACGUCCAUCAGGAACCAAGGCACAUUAAAGUUUGUAAAGGAGCCUCAGUCACAAUGAAGUGCACUUUUCAGCCGAAUGAAAACUACAAAGUGAGCUGGCACUACAGCCAGACAGCUAUUUCAGACUGUAAAUCAGCUUCCAAGAUACCUGAAGAACAGCGUUUUUUAAAAAAGAAAAAAGACGAUUGGUCAACACUCAACAUUACUUUUAUCAAAGCCAAUGAGAGUGGAUGGUACUUCUGCCUGGUCACACAAGACAUCCCAACUCUCAUACAAAACUGCAGUAAUGGAACACAAGUUAUAGUCGAGGACCCCAGCAUCAACACCAGCACCAGAACCAGCACCAGCACCACAGAAUCUCAGACGCUAAAUCAGCCCACAGGAGAUUUACCUACAACUUGCAUGAACAAUAGUAAAUCUAAUGAUACAACAUUCUCCACACCAUUCCCGACAUCACCAUUCGGCUUUACUCAGUGGUGGAUAUGGCUAGCGUUGGCAGUUGGAUGCGUAGUACUUCUGGUGUCAAUUGUUGUCAUAUGCAUCUUGACACGCAAACCUGAAGACCUCAUUUAUGAGAACACCAAACCAGUGGAAUCGAGCUGCUGGAGGCGAAACCGGACUAAGACGGACAUCUGCGACCUGCCUUCGUCCAAAAAAACUGACACCAUUAAACCGCUGAGGAAGUACGACACUCUUUCAAGCAACAGAAUCCGAAGGCCCUAAGUAUAUGAAAGAAUUACCCUCAGAAAAGACAUUAAAUAUAUCAAAUACCUUACUGUACACACAUAUUUAAUUUUAUAACGUAGCAUUUCCUGAAAGACGGGAAGCUGUAAAUAUAAAGCUGUUUUUUUUUCUUUCUUUUAGAAAGAGAUUCAUGAGAAAAUCUGAUUUUUUUCCUUUAAUGACUUUCAACUGUAUCAUACCGAAACAUUCUGUGGUUACAAAUAAAUGUGAAAACCACCAAAAAGAAAAAAUCUGU